GACGAACCGUCCUAACGUUGUUCGGAAUCACUGGGCUUAAAGGGCGCGUAGGCGGGCUCUCAAGUCCGGGGUGAAAUCUUUCGGCUCAACCGGAAAAUAGCCUUGGAUACUGGGAGUCUCGAGCGAGGUAGGGGCGGGUGGAACUUCCGGUGGAGCGGUGAAAUGCGUUGAUAUCCGUAGGAACUCCGGUGGCGAAGGCGGCGUGCUGGACCCCUUCUGACGCUGAGGCGCGAAAGCCAGGGGAGCGAACGGG
rnacentral:rRNA from 1 species